CCUACGGGAGGCAGCAGUGGGGAAUAUUGCACAAUGGGGGAAACCCUGAUCCAGCGACGCCGCGUGAGUGAAGAAGUAUUUCGGUAUGUAAAGCUCUAUCAGCAGGGAAGAAAAUGACGGUACCUGACUACGAAGCCCCGGCUAACUACGUGCCAGCCGCCGCGGUACUACGUAGGGGGCCAGUGUGAUCCGGCUUUACUGGGGGUAAAGGGAGCGUAGGUGGGAUGGUAAAGCGAAAGGGAAAACCCAGGUGUCUACUCUGUGGAUUGCCUUUGAAACUAUCAAGCUAGAGUGCUGGAGAGGUAAGCGGAAUUCGUAGUGUAGCGGUGAAAUGCGUAGAUAUUAGGAGGAACACCGGUGGCGAAGGCGGCUUACUGGACAGCAACUGACGCUGAGGCUCGAAAGCGUGGGUAUCAAACAGGAUUAGAUACCCGAGUAGUC
rnacentral:rRNA from 1 species